rnacentral:rRNA from 1 species
UAGGGAAUCUUCGGCAAUGGGGGGAACCCUGACCGAGCAACGCCGCGUGAGUGAAGAAGGUUUUCGGAUCGUACAGCUCUGUUGUUAAGGAAGAACGAGUGUGAGAAUGGAAAGUUCAUACUGUGACGGUACUUAACCAGAAAGGGACGGCUAACUACGUGCCAGCAGCCGCGGUAAUACGUAGGUCCCGAGCGUUGUCCGGAUUUAUUGGGCGUAAAGCGAGCGCAGGCGGUUAGAUAAGUCUGAAGUUAAAGGCAGUGGCUCAACCAUUGUAGGCUUUGGAAACUGUUUAACUUGAGUGCAGAAGGGGAGAGUGGAAUUCCAUGUGUAGCGGUGAAAUGCAUAGAUAUAUGGAGGAACACCGGUGGCGAAAGCGGCUCUCUGGUCUGUAACUGACGCUGAGGCUCGAAAGCGUGGGGAGCGAACAGG